UACCAAUACCAUUUUGAGAAAGCCCAAUCUCAUCUCAUUUCAAAAUUUUAGCAGGUUUGGGUCUGGUUAGUACUUUGAUGGGAGACCACCAGGAAUACCAGGGCAAAGUGGGAC
rnacentral:rRNA from 1 species